AUCUUGGUGGAGAUCCCUGCCUACUUGAGACUUUCCAAAACUCAUCGUGUUUCUGUAUGUCAAUGGAAAUCUAUUUUGGCUGAGGUUCUUUCUGUCUUUUAAUCCAAGUCUUUUACUGGCGUCUUUGCAUCUGUCAUCUGAUUUAUCCACUGAAGUGUGUUUCUGCAGAAUGAGGCCCUGUAUAAGGAUAGUAUAAAAAAGGUAUGCAAUACUGCUGGACUUCAUGUAUCUAUUCUGGCUGACUGACACACUUUGGAGAGGCCUGUGAGCAUGAUUUCCUCAAGUGCUGGGACAGCUGGACACUCUGAUGGUGGUAAGGAGAUCAGAUAGGUGCUAUUGGAGACAUGGGGUAGGGACGUCCUUCAGAGAUUCAGCACUGAAUGACCACCUAACUGUAGAACAGGUGUUGACUAUAUUUGCUGCUCCUAAAAGCUUUGGUGUCAGAGCAGAGUGCAAUCACUUACCAAGUCACAGAGCAAUCACGUGAAUGAUAGCACUGAUCCCUGGGAAUGAUUCCUGCCAACAUCAACUCAUUUCAGCGUGUAAUUAUGAUACAGCCGUAAUCUGGAGAGUUGCUGUGGGAAAUGGAUUGCUCCAUGGAUUUGUAAGACACCUAGUAGAUCUCUGUCAUAUGCUUCUGAGUUUCAUAGAGGCAACAAGAUAAAGAGGAUGUGAGCCAGAAACUCCUGUUCCUGAAGCACUGGACCAAUUAUUCACUGAAUUACAGCUUCUGUAAAGUGCUGCUGAUGGCAGCAAGACUACAGAAAUGUCUGAAGGCAUAAUAUGGACCAGCAGCAAUGUAUUUUCAGUGAUGGAAGCCUGUGGUGGAAUGGCCACUGUGUCUAAAAAUCCCAGCUGAGUUCAUACUACUGGCUAAUAACUGGGAAAUGAGUAUCAGCUAUCAAUCCUGGGAGGAAAAUGCAGAAGUCAACCCUGACAUUUUCAGUUUUGUUUCUAUAAAAUGAACCUGCUAUCGACAUUUCACAGAACUUUUUUUCCCUUCAAAUAUGAAAAUGAAAGGCAAAUACUAAAAAAGCUUUCUAAUAUUAGUGCUCAAUUGCAUAGAGCAUUCCUGGCAUUCAUCAAAUUAAAAGAGCCUGCAAUAUUCAUACACUUUCUUUCUUGGAAAUGGAACCUGUGGUUGUUAGCACUGUCUGACUGCCCAAGUGAACUGAUUCUGCAGGAGCUUUGGAUCUUGGUCCAGGCAGCCAUCCUGGAGUCCUCACCUCACCAAGCCAUGUUUCCAGUGUCCAAGGUUACUUCUGUGUAACCUUGUGGGAAAACGGAUGGCUUUUCUUGUAAAUCUUUCAAUGGUGCCACUUCUAGGGCUGCUCUAUGAAGACGAGCCCGUGCAAAAAAAAAUACUGAUAUGUGUGAUGAAAAUAAGUUGUCAUUUAUAUUUUUAUAGAAGGAAUUGAAUACUUGUUUGCAGAAUCCAGGACAUGAAUCCAAAACUGAGGCCUCUUGGCCCUUCUGGGAUGCAAACAGUAAUCUGAAAUAUACAUCUGGCACUGUGCAAAGAGAGAACAUCCAAAAUCUGUCAUAUCCCAUUAUGUUGCCGUGCUGCUGUUAAGCUAUUAUUAGUAUUUAAACUAAAUAUAUCUUCUAGCAUAAUACC
ensembl:lncRNA